AGAGUAUCAUACCCGGGAGAAGCCUUAGUGAUCAUCUCAUCAUAUCAAAGCUGGAAAUUGAGGCCAGAGGAAAGAAGUGAGCUGUCCAAGAUGAUAUGGUCAGUCAGUGCCAGUUAAGAGUGGACCCCUGGUUCACUGGCUCUCAGACCAGUGUUCUUCCCACCACUCCUUGGCCAAGAUGAGUAACAUGUUCUUACCAGAAACUGUCAUGUAUGUCUUGGAUAAAGGGUCAACUUCUCCAUGAAGCCCAUUCUGAUUUUUCCAUAAAGAUACUGGUCUACUCUAAUGAUUCUUUCCUGGAUUUGAUCAUUUGAAGGAGUUAAUAUCAACACCAACCACAACCUAUAUUAUUUGUUACCUUCUGCUAAUUGAUUAACACAUUUUAUUAGUUAAUCUUCUUAACAGCCCUCUGAAAUGAAGGGGUUUUUUUGUGUUUUUUUUUUUACAAUUACCUGUGAGAAUAAGGAGGCCAAGAAUUAUCCAGUCGCUUCCCCACAGUCAUAAAGCUGCAAGAAACAACAACAAUACAAAGCCUCGUUGGUGGCUUCAAUUUGGAAGGAGACUGCCCUAUCUGGAACUGAAUUGGCCGAGAUCUUACAAAAGUAGCUGAUGCCUUUUCAAAAGCUACUGUGGUGAAUGAAACUUCCCAGUCACACUUGGAAUGUGAUGUUUUUCCAUGAAGCUAUGCUUGCAAAGAUGAAAUCUGAAGAAUAUGUGAGCAUACUUUAAAGACCCUGCCAAGAAGUCUCUAGAAUGUAUGCACAACAGAGCUAAAGGCAUUUGUGAUUCCACUCUAGCCGGUUUGGCUCAGUGGAUAGAGCUUUGGCCUGGGGACCGAAGGAUGCUGAGUCAAGGGCACAUGCCAGGGUUUCGGGCUUGAUCCCCAGUAGGGGUCGUGC